rnacentral:rRNA from 1 species
GGAAGUAAAAGUCGUAACAAGGUCUCCGUAGGUGAACCUGCGGAGGGAUCAUUACAGGAUAUAAUUUACCACAGUGCCAUGAGAUUCGCUCUCAUGGCACUUCAACCAAACGAUCACAACUAUAACAAGAGAAAUGUGGGGGGAAAAAGUGCUUGCCUGAUAACUUGGAAAACUUAUACAUAAUAUACAACUUUCAACAACGGAUCUCUUGGCUCUCACAUCGAUGAAGAACAUAGCAAAGUGUGAAAAUUAAUGUGAAUUGCAGAAUUCAGUGAAUCAUUGAGUUUUUGAACGCAUCUUGCACUCCUUGGUAUUCCAGGGAGUAUGCCUGGUUGAGUAAUGUGAACAUAUAUCCCUUGGGGUUUCUUUUGAGAGAAACACUGGAGCUGAGUGCUUACCUUGGUCUCUCACGGUCAGUCUCAAUCUGAUGAAGAAGAGGACAGCGAGGUUCACUUGAAAUGAAGGGAAACAAAAAGACAACAGGGACCCAUGAUAAUUCUUGUUAUUAUCACGGGAAAUCAGUCACAGACAAGCACGAGAGCCUCUCUCUCUUUCUUUGCUCAUUGAGCAUGGACAGAAAGAGGCAAUCAGGAGAAUUGGCUUGAUCAUAACAAUGGCUUGAUGAAUGUGAAAACGUUCUUUCUACACAAGGUCUUGUUUAGAGCUUCUUCUCUGCGCGUCUUGUGCUGUUUGCCUCUGCCUCGGCGUUUCCACAACUAGGAAAUGUGUGGCUGUGUGUGUGUGCGCACCACCACCAUCAUCAUCAUUCUCAACUCAGGCAAGACUACCCGCUGAAUUUAAGCAUAUCAAUAAGCGGAGGA